rnacentral:lncRNA from 1 species
AUACUAAUAUUUGACAGACCCAACAAACAAGAGACUCUGUUUCCAGGGGACGACACGUGAGAAUUAUUAGUGGGAAGGGAACAAGGGUGAUUGAGAAGAAAUGGUAGGAAUUCUCGUCUUCUUGGUAGUGAACACCUGUUUUGACGGUACUAAGAAAGAAAGAAAGAAAGAAGGGUGUGUUUGGUUUCGAAUGUCUUGUUGUGAUAAUGCUGGUCUCUGUAGCUUGGCACUUUGAAAGUAGCAAGGCGACAUAUAGAGUGAGAGUGGUCAAUUUCCCAAUUUCACAUCAAUGGUUCUUGUAGCUGCUUUGACGCCCACUUUACCUACUUUUGGAACCAUUAGUAAGUAAACUAAAUUCCUUCGUCCCUUCGAUUCUGCAUUGAGCCACCAAACCUUCUUUUACCUCCACCAAUAAUAAUACAAGUUGAUGCUCACCCUCUUAUCCUAUGUUUGAAAUCGCUUAUAAAUUCAGAUUUGGUACUCUUUCGUCAAAAGUCCAACCUUGAUUACCCUACUUUGGAACAAGAAAACCAGUCACCAAGUCUUGCUGAUAUUUUCUUCUUUUAACUUUUGAUAUCCUCCAACUACGACCAUGUUUGUUCCUACAACUCCUACCCAAACCAGGAGAUUCUAUGCUCACCCUUAAGAAAAGAUACAACAAAAGCCUUCAAUCAAAAGACUAGUAAGUGCAGUGACUGCAGAACUAAGCUAUCCUCUCUAAAGCUAGCUAUCACACAACUGGGUUUAGAAGUUGAGGGGGGUGGGGGAGGAAAAGUGAAGUCAAUAGCCAAAGUCACUUAACUCCAUUUGCCGGAUUGCGUCAUCUAACAUUAUCUCUUCCUAUAUCUAAUUUCUAUCCAAGGAUUAGGAUUCUUAUUCCAUGAUCUCCACACAUAAUGUAAAGCAACCUAUACCAACAUCUCAUUCUCUUUUCAUCUCUUGUUAUUGCAGCCAAAUCAACUCCCGCAGAAUAGGAAAGGUCAAGCAUUUGCACUUACAUGGCUAUUUCGCCCCGCCAGCCAUCCAACGCAUCCUUUUGGUACACAAUGGUUCCCUGAAGAUAACAAGUGACCCUUCAAAGAGCAAUGAACUUGAAAGUAUUGAAUGACGAUGAUAAAACAGAUAAGAUAAUAAAGGAAAUAUGAUCAUUUUGGCAAAGUAACCUGGCCAUCUUCCUCUUCUUUUUCUUUCCCAACCACUUACUACGUGGCUUAAAGCUCUUCACUCUUAUUACACCAUAAUCAAAGGGAUGUUCUACCUUUUACCAUACAGUUAUGUGCAUGUACGACCAAAAACAAACAACAAGAUGGACGCUAGCACAGACAUGAAAGACUGAAGAAUCUUCAGAAAUUUACAACAAGUAACUUAUUGUGUGGUGGGGGAGAUGAGAGGAAGGGAAGAGGACAUGACCAAUGCUCUAUCAUGUGAAAACUAAGCAAACUUCCAAAUUCUUUCAGUUUUUGUUUUGUAAAUUUUGAAGUACAGCUUACAAGUGGAGCAUAAUGCAUAAUGUCUUCAGAAAAUGGCAAAACAGUGAAUGAAAAGCCACAACAAGACCCACACAGAUAGAU